CUUCUCACGGAGGUGAAUCGGGAGGGGAGGAAAGUCCGGGCAACACAGAGCACCGCACUGGUGAAACUGCCAGACGGACGUAAGUUUGUGUCUCCGUAACAGAGAAUAACCGCCCGCACCCGUAAGGGUGCAGGUAAGGGUGAAAAGGUGGUGUAAGAGACCACCGGUGUCGGCAGCAAUGUCGGUAGCCGUACGGACUGCGGGUUGCAAGACCAUGUACACCGAUGCUGUUCGGCGUGGCCUCUGGGCUGAUGCUGAACGAGAGGGCUGCUCGUCCGAGUCGGGGGGUAGGUUGCUGAUGAUUCGGCGGGAGACCGUCGAGCUGGAUAAAUGGCAGAGGCUUUUUUGAGUCGCGUGUGCCGUUACCGUUCCUGACGGGGCGCGAGCGGCAUCACCACACAAAAAAGUACAGAACCCGGCUUAUACCCCUU
rnacentral:RNase_P_RNA from 1 species